UGAGACCGGCGCACGGGUGCGUAACGCGUAUGCAAUCUACCUUGUACAGAGGGAUAGCCCAGAGAAAUUUGGAUUAAUACCUCAUAGUAUCUUCGGAAGGCAUCUUCUGAUUAUUAAAGUUCCAACGGUACAAGAUGAGCAUGCGUCCCAUUAGUUAGUUGGUAAGGUAACGGCUUACCAAGACUAUGAUGGGUAGGGGUCCUGAGAGGGAGAUCCCCCACACUGGUACUGAGACACGGACCAGACUCCUACGGGAGGCAGCAGUGAGGAAUAUUGGGCAAUGGGCGAGAGCCUGACCCAGCCAUGCCGCGUGCAGGAAGACGGUCCUAUGGAUUGUAAACUGCUUUUAUACGGGAGGAAACCCUGCUACGUGUAGCAGAUUGACGGUACCGUAGGAAUAAGGAUCGGCUAACUCCGUGCCAGCAGCCGCGGUAAUACGGAGGAUCCAAGCGUUAUCCGGAAUCAUUGGGUUUAAAGGGUCCGUAGGCGGCCUUAUAAGUCAGUGGUGGAAUCUCCUAGCUCAACUAGGAA
rnacentral:rRNA from 1 species